GAGUUUGAUCCUAGCUCAGAUUGAACGCUGGCGGCAGGCCUAACACAUGCAAGUCGAGCGGUAGAGAGAAGCUUGCUUCUCUUGAGAGCGGCGGACGGGUGAGUAAUGCCUAGGAAUCUGCCUGGUAGUGGGGGAUAACGCUCGGAAACGGACGCUAAUACCGCAUACGUCCUACGGGAGAAAGCAGGGGACCUUCGGGCCUUGCGCUAUCAGAUGAGCCUAGGUCGGAUUAGCUAGUUGGUGAGGUAAUGGACUCACCAAGGCGACGAUCCGUAACUGGUCUGAGAGGAUGAUCAGUCACACUGGAACUGAGACACGGUCCAGACUCCUACGGGAGGCAGCAGUGGGAAUAUUGGACAAUGGGCGAAAGCCUGAUCCAGCCAUGCCGCGUGUGUGAAGAAGGUCUUCGGAUUGUAAAGCAC
rnacentral:rRNA from 1 species